UUUGGAGCAUUAGGAGAGGAGGUGAUGCUCUGUUUCUACCUGCCUGAAGCUGCAGUGAUCUGUCUCUCUUUCUCUCUCUCUCUCUCUCUCUCUCUCUCUCAGGUGUGCAGUGUGAUAAUAGUGUUCUGCAGAUGCUGUGGGAGCGGUUCGGCUCUGGGGAGCAGCACCUGCCCUUCCCUGUCUUCGUGUCGUGUGUCUGCAGGCUGCAGGUUCUCGUGGCUCUGUUUGAGGCAGAAAGCAGCCUGGAGGUGAAGAACAGGGGAAUAAACGCGUGGAUGCUCAGGCUGCUGGCCGUGUGAACACUCCGAGAUGCGACACCUCAGCAGGACAGACCCGCUUGGCCGGGACUAAACUGACGUCAUCCACCUGGUCCUGCGUCUCUCUAUCUCUUUAUAUCUCUCCCUCUAUCUAUCUUUUUAUCUAUCUAUUUCUCUGUCUGCUUCUGCUCAUCACCUCCACCCACUCAUCCCCCAUCAUUCUCCGCUCACAUGGGUCACUUUGGGUUUUGGUCCAACAAACAUGCAGAUAUUCACUUUUCUUUUACAUUUACUUUAUUUUCAUUUACUUUGCCACCAUUUCCAUGCAUAUACACUUUAAUAUAUUGCCUAUAGUUUCUUCUUUAUAAGUGAAAAUGUUUGUAGACACCUUCUGUUUAGAGAAUUAUAACUAUAAGUCGCUCUAAAAAUCAUUUAAUUUUCCCAAAAAUCAUCAUAAGGUGCUUCUUAUGUACGAAUUCUACCAGUCAGGUAUUAAAGGAGCAGUAAAGCCACUCUGACUGCUAAAGUCCUGCGUUAUAAGGGUGCGUUUUCAGUGAAGUUUCUCCAGCACUAAGGCUAGGUGCAGCAGCAUUAGCAUUAGCCGCUAACCAUUGCGCUAGCACUUCCGCCAUGUUAAAACAAGCACCCUGGUUACCGGAACACUCAGGGUUCCUCAGUGUAAAGAUAUCGUGUGGCAUUUACUAGCGCUAGAGGCUAGCACUGCGGUUAGCGGCUAAUGCUAAUAUUAAUGCUGCUGCACCCAGCCUUAGUGCUGGAGAAACUUAGAUGAAAAAUCACCCUUAGACAAAAUACUGGAAAUCUAAGUGCUUUACUCACCCAAAUAAACAGUUUUCAGGAGAGAAAUCUGUGUAGAUU
rnacentral:lncRNA from 1 species